rnacentral:piRNA from 1 species
UAAUAUCGAGGGCAUGUAGGAAAUU